rnacentral:rRNA from 1 species
AGCAGUAGCCGCGGUAAUACGUAGGUGGCAAGCGUUGUCCGGAAUUAUUGGGCGUAAAGGGAGCGCAGGCGGACAUAUAAGCCCAUCUUAAAAGUGCGGGGCUCAACCCCGUGAGGGGAUGGAAACUGUUUAACUUGAGUGCAAGAGGGGAGAGUGGAAUUCCAUGUGUAGCGGUGAAAUGCGUAGAUAUAUGGAGGAACACCGGUGGCGGAAGCGGCUCUCUGGCUUGUAACUGACGCUGAGGCUCGAAAGCGUGGGGAGCAAACAGGAUUAGAUACCCCUGUAGUCCCUGUCUCUUAUACA